rnacentral:rRNA from 1 species
UACGUAGGGGGGCAAGCGUUGUCCGGAAUCAUUGGGCGUAAAGAGCGUGUAGGCGGCCCGAUAAGUCCGCCGUGAAAGUCCAGGGCUCAACCCUGGGAUGCCGGUGGAAACUGUCGGGCUAGAGUCCGGAAGAGGCGAGUGGAAUUCCUGGUGUAGCGGUGAAAUGCGUAGAUAUCUGGAGGAAUACCGGUGGCGAAGGCGGCAUCCUGGACCGGCAUUGACGCUGAGGAGCGAAAGCCAGGGGAGCAAACGGG